CCUUCCGUGGGUGAGCUAUUUGAGCCAACAUCUAUUGUUGCGUCGGCCUUCUGCCGUUUGUUAAUUUUGGCCUGAGGGCUUUAACUUUUAAGAUUUUGGUAUGUACCAAAUUAGGGUAGAGCGCUUAUUUUUCUCGUUUUAAGAUCUUUUGUGAGUCUCUGUUUCCUAACUCCUUUCCCGCCUCUUUCAAAUUUGCUCUAGUGAUCAACGCCACCUAUGAUCCGGAGUUGGUAUUAAUUUCACGUGGUGACCUUUGUGUUGUCCUGUUUUCCCCCAGAGACGGUGGCGCCUUGUACUUCAUCGAUCGUUCUCGCCGAAUAUCGAUCACAAAAAUGGUCGUAGCGUUUUGGCGUCGUUGUUAAGGUUUCUUGUGUUCUUCGUCGUCGCUUUUGAGUAACAACUGCCGUUUGGUAGAUAAGUUAUGUUUUUAUAUGGGGUUUCAUUAACAUCAACGUUCUUUAGACGUUCUUAGCCUCUCAAUAUAGAGGUUAUAAGUCGCAAAAAUACAAAAACCAAUAAGUCAAACAGGUGGCCAGACAGUAAACGGCCCAAAAAACCGCCGCAAAACCAAAAAUCCAGCACGAUGGCAUAGGAACAAUCAAAUUCGAGAACAAAACCACAACACCAAGAACAACAGGUGACAUUCAUGACAAUUAACAGCCGAGAGCCAUACUAACCCAACAGAAGCGGAAAAAAGGCAAUUCCCCAACCACAAGGCGGGAAACUUGAAUACCAACCAAGGUCAAAACCAAACCUCCCCGAAAGACGAAUCGUCGAGAGGUGGGGGACGAGCAACAUGUAACUUAACCAAAUUGCAAUAAAUGUCGCUAACAUUUUGCACAUCAGUGCGAAAAUUUACAGAAUUAGGCUCACUCAGGAUGUGGAACAUCUUAAGAAAACGCCGUUUAUAGUAUGAGGGUUUAAAACAUACUAUGGAGGAGUUGUCGAAAUCGAAGUCUCUACGGUGUUGGUCGAGUCUCCUCUUAAGAUAUUGGCUGGUCAUACCCACGUAGGAGCCGGAACAACCCUGACAGUUGAUCUUACACAUCAAGUUGGUUUUCAGACCAUCGGGUCGAUCUUUCAAGCUGGUAAAAAUGCCACGUAGAGGUUUGGUGGUAUAUUUAGCGAACUGUAAAGUUCCGUCAUUGAAAACCUUCACCAGAUUAUCGAACAAAUUUUAGUGUUAUUUAACCCUUUCGCGACUUUUAACUUAGUGGUGCAUAUGUGUACCAGGAGUCGCGAAAGGGUUAAGACAGAAAAAGACAUAAAUAAAAAUUGAAACUAAUUGAACAUAGUCACACACGUUCAUAUAAACCCAUUCAUAGUUAACUUAUUGCGGCUGAACCAAUUUUCCACAAUUCACACAUUAGUACACGUUUUAUGGAUCAUUUCAUUAAGUGUUGAACUAGUAAUUACAAGGCUGGUGUCAUCAGCAUAAUUCGUUUUGUGACAAUUCAGGCCGAAGAGUAGAAGGUCAUUUAUAAAGAUAACGAACAAAAGCGGUCCCAGUAUACUACCCUGUGAGAUACCGUAGAGUGUAGUUUUAUUAGUAGAAAUUACAGUCUUACUUUUUAAGCUUAUGACUUUAGUAGAGUGUGACCUAGUAUUUAAAUAAAAUGUUAUAAUAUCGUU
rnacentral:lncRNA from 1 species